AUUGGUCAAUGGACGGAAGUCUGAACCAGCCAAGUAGCGUGCAGGAUGACGGCCCUCCGGGUUGUAAACUGCUUUUAGUUGGGAAUAACGACGGGGACGUGUCCCCGGAAAGAAUGUACCAUCAGAAAAAGGACCGGCUAAUUCCGUGCCAGCAGCCGCGGUAAUACGGAAGGUCCGGGCGUUAUCCGGAUUUAUUGGGUUUAAAGGGAGCGUAGGCGGACUGUUAAGUCAGCGGUUAAAGAGUGUGGCUCAACCAUACGAUGCCGUUGAAACUGGUAGUCUUGAGUGCACAUAGGGAUGCUGGAACUCGUGGUGUAGCGGUGAAAUGCUUAGAUAUCACGAUGAACUCCGAUCGCGAAGGCAGGUGUCCGGGGUGUAACUGACGCUGAGGCUCGAAAGUGUGGGUAUCAAACAGGAUUAGAUACCCUGGUAGUCCACACAGUAAACGAUGAAUACUCGCAGUUUGCGAUACACUGUAAGCUGCCAAGCGAAAGCAUUAAGUAUUCCACCUGGGGAGUACGCCGGCAACGGUGAAACUCAAAGGAAUUGACGGAA
rnacentral:rRNA from 1 species